rnacentral:sRNA from 1 species
AUUUAUUUUUUUAUGCCUUAGAUGAAUGCAGACUCAAGAGUAUAUACAAUGCAACACACACUUCUUCCUGAGCCCUCCCCCAAACUUAAAUCACAUGUGCUGCACAUCCUCUAGUAAUCCAAGUU